UUCCCAGAGACUAUGGGUUGAGGAGGAAUUGGAAGUUUGUCGGCUUAGACCUGGUGUCAUUCCAUCAGUGUUAAACUUCCCGGCUCAUCUUGGAAGAGUACGUACCAGAAAGACCACGACCAAGCAGCCUUGAGAUCUUAGGCAGCGUCUCCCUGAGGUCCCUCUCUAUCUCCCCACACAUCCACCAACCACUGGAACACAUCUCCAAAGUUCUGCUGGGCCAGCUCAGCUUCCCCUCAGAAGAAGUGCUGCCACCUGCCAGAUGAAGGAGCCUUUUGAGAGGCAGCUGGCAUCGUGAUUGGACUGUACUUUGGUCUGUUCCAAUCCAGCUUCAGCUCCAGAGACGGCAGGCGGGAUGAGUCAACGGAGGCCGGGUGGACGAAGGCAUGCAGCUGAGUACAAUCCAGAAAACAACAGAGGAGGAGUGCAUCAGCCCAGGGCCAGAACAAGCAGAGUAGCAUCGUAUGUCUCUUAGAAAACAUCAUAGUAUAGCCUUUGGGAUGAAAAAACACCAUCAUAUACAUCGUAUAUUGUACAAAUAACAAGUCAAAGGAAAGAGACAUACAUUGUAGAAUUGUAGUAAUUGUGGGCUGACUGAUUUACUGAUUAUCAGUAUUUUAUUUUUUACUGAUUUACGGUAAUAAAUACAUUUAAAAAUGGU